GACGAACGCUGGCGGCGUGCCUAAUACAUGCAAGUAGAACGCUGAAGAGAGGAGCUUGCUCUUCUUGGAUGAGUUGCGAACGGGUGAGUAACGCGUAGGUAACCUGCCUGGUAGCGGGGGAUAACUAUUGGAAACGAUAGCUAAUACCGCAUGAUAUUAAUUGUCGCAUGAUAAUUAAUUGAAAGAUGCAAUUGCAUCACUACCAGAUGGACCUGCGUUGUAUUAGCUAGUUGGUGAGGUAACGGCUCACCAAGGCGACGAUACAUAGCCGACCUGAGAGGGUGAUCGGCCACACUGGGACUGAGACACGGCCCAGACUCCUACGGGAGGCAGCAGUAGGGAAUCUUCGGCAAUGGGGGGAACCCUGACCGAGCAACGCCGCGUGAGUGAAGAAGGUUUUCGGAUCGUAAAGCUCUGUUGUAAGAGAAGAACGGGUGUGAGAGUGGAAAGUUCACACUGAGACG
rnacentral:rRNA from 1 species